UACGUAGGGUCCGAGCGUUGUCCGGAAUUAUUGGGCGUAAAGGGCUCGUAGGCGGCCAACUAAGUCAGACGUGAAAUCCCUCAGCUUAACUGGGGAACUGCGUCUGAUACUGGAUGGCUUGGAUCCGGGAGAGGGAUGCGGAAUUCCAGGUGUAGCGGUGAAAUGCGUAGAUAUCUGGAGGAAUACCGGUGGCGAAGGCGGCAUCCUGGACCGACAUUGACGCUGAGGAGCGAAAGCUAGGGGAGCAAACGGG
rnacentral:rRNA from 1 species